AGCGUACACGGUGGAUGCCCUGGCAGUCAGAGGCGAUGAAGGACGUGCUAAUCUGCGAUAAGCGUCGGUAAGGUGAUAUGAACCGUUAUAACCGGCGAUUUCCGAAUGGGGAAACCCAGUGUGUUUCGACACACUAUCAUUAACUGAAUCCAUAGGUUAAUGAGGCGAACCGGGGGAACUGAAACAUCUAAGUACCCCGAGGAAAAGAAAUCAACCGAGAUUCCCCCAGUAGCGGCGAGCGAACGGGGAGGAGCCCAGAGCCUGAAUCAGUGUGUGUGUUAGUGGAAGCGUCUGGAAAGGCGCGCGAUACAGGGUGACAGCCCCGUACACAAAAAUGCACAUACUGUGAGCUCGAUGAGUAGGGCGGGACACGUGGUAUCCUGUCUGAAUAUGGGGGGACCAUCCUCCAAGGCUAAAUACUCCUGACUGACCGAUAGUGAACCAGUACCGUGAGGGAAAGGCGAAAAGAACCCCGGCGAGGGGAGUGAAAAAGAACCUGAAACCGUGUACGUACAAGCAGUGGGAGCCUCUUUUAUGGGGUGACUGCGUACCUUUUGUAUAAUGGGUCAGCGACUUAUAUUCUGUAGCAAGGUUAACCGAAUAGGGGAGCCGAAGGGAAACCGAGUCUUAACUGGGCGUUAAGUUGCAGGGUAUAGACCCGAAACCCGGUGAUCUAGCCAUGGGCAGGUUGAAGGUUGGGUAACACUAACUGGAGGACCGAACCGACUAAUGUUGAAAAAUUAGCGGAUGACUUGUGGCUGGGGGUGAAAGGCCAAUCAAACCGGGAGAUAGCUGGUUCUCCCCGAAAGCUAUUUAGGUAGCGCCUCGUGAAUUCAUCUCCGGGGGUAGAGCACUGUUUCGGCAAGGGGGUCAUCCCGACUUACCAACCCGAUGCAAACUGCGAAUACCGGAGAAUGUUAUCACGGGAGACACACGGCGGGUGCUAACGUCCGUCGUGAAGAGGGAAACAACCCAGACCGCCAGCUAAGGUCCCAAAGUCAUGGUUAAGUGGGAAACGAUGUGGGAAGGCCCAGACAGCCAGGAUGUUGGCUUAGAAGCAGCCAUCAUUUAAAGAAAGCGUAAUAGCUCACUGGUCGAGUCGGCCUGCGCGGAAGAUGUAACGGGGCUAAACCAUGCACCGAAGCUGCGGCAGCGACGCUUAUGCGUUGUUGGGUAGGGGAGCGUUCUGUAAGCCUGUGAAGGUGUACUGUGAGGUAUGCUGGAGGUAUCAGAAGUGCGAAUGCUGACAUAAGUAACGAUAAAGCGGGUGAAAAGCCCGCUCGCCGGAAGACCAAGGGUUCCUGUCCAACGUUAAUCGGGGCAGGGUGAGUCGACCCCUAAGGCGAGGCCGAAAGGCGUAGUCGAUGGGAAACAGGUUAAUAUUCCUGUACUUGGUGUUACUGCGAAGGGGGGACGGAGAAGGCUAUGUUGGCCGGGCGACGGUUGUCCCGGUUUAAGCGUGUAGGCUGGUUUUCCAGGCAAAUCCGGAAAAUCAAGGCUGAGGCGUGAUGACGAGGCACUACGGUGCUGAAGCAACAAAUGCCCUGCUUCCAGGAAAAGCCUCUAAGCAUCAGGUAACAUCAAAUCGUACCCCAAACCGACACAGGUGGUCAGGUAGAGAAUACCAAGGCGCUUGAGAGAACUCGGGUGAAGGAACUAGGCAAAAUGGUGCCGUAACUUCGGGAGAAGGCACGCUGAUAUGUAGGUGAAGCGACUUGCUCGUGGAGCUGAAAUCAGUCGAAGAUACCAGCUGGCUGCAACUGUUUAUUAAAAACACAGCACUGUGCAAACACGAAAGUGGACGUAUACGGUGUGACGCCUGCCCGGUGCCGGAAGGUUAAUUGAUGGGGUUAGCGGUAACGCGAAGCUCUUGAUCGAAGCCCCGGUAAACGGCGGCCGUAACUAUAACGGUCCUAAGGUAGCGAAAUUCCUUGUCGGGUAAGUUCCGACCUGCACGAAUGGCGUAAUGAUGGCCAGGCUGUCUCCACCCGAGACUCAGUGAAAUUGAACUCGCUGUGAAGAUGCAGUGUACCCGCGGCAAGACGGAAAGACCCCGUGAACCUUUACUAUAGCUUGACACUGAACAUUGAGCCUUGAUGUGUAGGAUAGGUGGGAGGCUUUGAAGUGUGGACGCCAGUCUGCAUGGAGCCGACCUUGAAAUACCACCCUUUAAUGUUUGAUGUUCUAACGUUGGCCCCUGAUCGGGGUUGCGGACAGUGUCUGGUGGGUAGUUUGACUGGGGCGGUCUCCUCCUAAAGAGUAACGGAGGAGCACGAAGGUUGGCUAAUCCUGGUCGGACAUCAGGAGGUUAGUGCAAUGGCAUAAGCCAGCUUGACUGCGAGCGUGACGGCGCGAGCAGGUGCGAAAGCAGGUCAUAGUGAUCCGGUGGUUCUGAAUGGAAGGGCCAUCGCUCAACGGAUAAAAGGUACUCCGGGGAUAACAGGCUGAUACCGCCCAAGAGUUCAUAUCGACGGCGGUGUUUGGCACCUCGAUGUCGGCUCAUCACAUCCUGGGGCUGAAGUAGGUCCCAAGGGUAUGGCUGUUCGCCAUUUAAAGUGGUACGCGAGCUGGGUUUAGAACGUCGUGAGACAGUUCGGUCCCUAUCUGCCGUGGGCGCUGGAGAACUGAGGGGGGCUGCUCCUAGUACGAGAGGACCGGAGUGGACGCAUCACUGGUGUUCGGGUUGUCAUGCCAAUGGCACUGCCCGGUAGCUAAAUGCGGAAGAGAUAAGUGCUGAAAGCAUCUAAGCACGAAACUUGCCCCGAGAUGAGUUCU
rnacentral:rRNA from 1 species